rnacentral:lncRNA from 1 species
AAAAAUGAGAGAGAGAAAAGGGACAAAAUAUACAAACGAAUCCCUCCCAAGACUUAGGAAGGUCGAUACUAGACCCACUAUUAAAAGAUACCCAGUGUACUAGAAAGAAUCCAAAAUAUACACAAUAUAUACAAGUAGUCUUGAGUACAAAAUACUAAAUUGAAAAUGAUAAAGGAGGAUCAUCCUCGAACGACAGCAAGCUCACCCUAUUCCGAAUCAAUACUGAAAAAUAGAACCAUGUCAAUGCCAACUGCUAGUGCUCGGAUAUGCAUCAGAAAAAAGAUUCAGAAGUGUAGUAUGAGUACCAACACAAUGGGUACUCAGUAGGCAUUAUCGAUCGACUGAGCUCAAUAAAAAUUAUAACUAAAAUGCGAGGGUGUAAUCUAAGUCAACAGUAAACAUGGAUAGAAAGGUAAACAACUACCAAGCUACGCAAAUAUGAUAACGAAAUAAAUAUAAGUGAUAGAAAAUAAAUAAUGCAGUAAUUAUAAAAAUUUAAAUAAAAUCUAACUGGGCCUCCAUAAGAACACUAGGCACACUGAAGAAGAUAAUUAACCCAACCGUACCCUUAGAAACUGGUGGGACACACAAGAAAUAAUUAAUAAAAAUAAAUAUAAAUAAUCCAUAACUAAAUCCAUCCCUUAAAAUCAUAGUAUCCAUCCAUAUGUGCAUCAUACUUGAACCAACACCAAUGGGUAGUAACAAGAGGCUAGACGUCGGGCUUGAAUCGAUAGGGAUGGAUAAUAACAAGAGGCCAUAUGUCGAAUUAAAACCAAAAAUAGAGGGUAACAAUGAGAGGCCACAUAUAUUAUAUACAACAGAACUCAUAACGUGAUUCCAAAAUCGAACCGGAAUUCAGAGGAAUCAUAAUUCCCAGAACAACCAUAAUCAGUAUGAGAACUCCCAAAACAUUAUAACCAGAUGCCAGACUGAAAUUGGAACUCCUAGUAACCCUGUCCAACUGUAAAAUUAAUACCCUAACCAUACCAUAACCAAUUCUAAAGUGGUACCAAGACUCACAAUAACUGAUAGAAAAAAAGUAUAUGCUGAAUCUAAAUCGAAACUAAAAUAUAUUUAAAUAACCAUUCACAUAUGUUAAUUAAAAAGGGAUGAAUUCAAGGUUCCAAAACUUAAUACCAUGUCCUAAAGUGAUAGAUGUUAUAUCAUACUAAAGGAUAAGAUACUAAAAUAUACUAGAACAGGGUCAUAACCGGAUAAAUAAGGCAUGAUAUAUAUAUUAAAUAGUAUGCAAACUACAAGUACUUGUCCAAAACUAGCAUAGUAGUGCACAAUUACCGUAAAUUAGCUCAAUCUAAAAGUAGGACAAACCUAACCAACCUGGAGGCCAAAAAUAAAAACUUCUCCAAGAAUCUUUCGAAUAGUAUCCCUCUAGAAUCCGAGUUGAAUAAAUAUAGUAGUAUCUUUAAAAUUUCCUUCGUGAUUCAAGAGUUGAUAGCAAGCUUUUAAGAUAAGUUACAGGAAUAGAUUCCCUUAAAACUUAAAUAGUGAAUGAAUUGCACUGAUAUAUCAAAGUUUUCUAUUUCCUAACGUCACUAUUUGUAAUGAAAUCGCACCAUAAUAUUUAUUAUGAUUACACCUCUCACUUUGGUGACAUUUUUGAUGGAUCCCACGUCCAGAGGGUGUGGCAAUACUACCCCUUGCUCUCCGUUAAAUUCACACUCGGGUAGAUAGGUUCGUGAUAAAAUCAAUAUAAUAUUUUGAAUAUAUCAUAAUUAAUAGAAAAUUAUUUCUAAAAUCUCUAUUAUAUAAUAAUAAAAUUUUAACAUAUUUAAAUUUACUAUCUCCUUUUAAAAUAUUAAUAGACCAUAAAAGCUAUUAUAAAGUCAUAUAAAUAUAACAUUAAUUAAAGAAUUUUAUCAAAAUAAAAAAUAUUUUAGAAGGGUAAUAAAUUAUAUUUUUACUAAAUGCCAAUUUAAAUUAAGUAUUCUACAAUAUAUUUGGUAUCACUAAAAUUCUCAAAUGAACCGCGUGAAAUCAAACUAUUAGUUCCAACAAGUCAUAAAUAACUCGGGACAGUUAUAAGAAAUCUCUACACACCAAAAAUAUAUAAAAAUAAGAAAAAUGACCAUAAAGAUAAUUACAUAUACCCGACAUUCACGUUUCGCAACCAUGCAUAAUCACCAUUAUCAAAAGAGCCGAUCCACUCAAGGAACAAAUAUCAACAUAAAAUAUUAUUGAAAUUUAAUUCAUGUGAAUGAAUGUAUAUAUGCAAGAUGUGUGCAUCAUAUCUUUCUCUUUCGAAUCUCAUCAACAUAAUUUUUCACAUCCUGAACAUCAUGAUCAAUAUCGAAUAAUCUAUUGGGUUCUAAGUGAUGAAAAUUGAAUGGAAAAUAGAGAAACAAAUAAAUAGGGAGAAAAGAGCAAAUUGUCCUUUCGCCUUUAAAGAAGAGUAUCUCUCUCACAUUGGUGUGAGAAAGUGAAAUUAUUAUGAUUAAG